UACGUAGGGAGCAAGCGUUGUCCGGAAUCAUUGGGCGUAAAGCGCGCGUAGAUGGCCUCGUAAGUCCGCUGUGAAAGUCAAAGGCUCAACCUUUGAAAGCCGGUGGAUACUGUGGGGCUAGAGUACGGAAGAGGCGAGUGGAAUUCCUGGUGUAGCGGUGGAAUGCGCAGAUAUCAGGAGGAACACCAAUAGCGAAGGCAGCUCGCUGGGACGUAACUGACACUGAGGCGCGAAAGCGUGGGGAGCGAACAGG
rnacentral:rRNA from 1 species